ACUUUGUCGGGUGGCUAUUGGUAGAGGGGUUUCCAGGAAUGCAGACCGUAAAGGUGCAUGAGUGGUGUUUGGCGUGUUGUGGGUGGUUGGCUGACUACAUAUGUAGCAACGUCCAUCCUAGCACGCCUCUUCAUUGUUGUCUAGUGCUUCUUUACUAGGCAAUUGUUGGGGUGUUCUGUGUUGGUUUCUGAAUCCGCAGUAUCUUAAUGGUUUGCUUGAAUUUUUUUCGUUUCGCGUUGCUCAUGUGAUGUGGGAUAAACCUUGCUGCGUGCCCCUUGUUUACUGCCAUUGAUGCCAGAUGUGUCUUUGGCAUGAUUCAUCGGGUGCUGCUUGGUAAAUUAUUGUGUAUACAGAAUUUUUUGUGGGCAUUUGGGUCUUUAUGGCCUUGUGGGUUGUCUUUUUCGAGCGUUCUUGCUUCUUAUAAACGACUGUCAGUAGCGUGUUGACGUG
rnacentral:misc_RNA from 1 species